rnacentral:rRNA from 1 species
GAGUUUGAUCGUGGCUCAGGAUGAACGCUAGCUACAGGCUUAACACAUGCAAGUCGAGGGGCAGCAUGGUCUUAGCUUGCUAAGGCCGAUGGCGACCGGCGCACGGGUGAGUAACACGUAUCCAACCUGCCGUCUACUCUUGGACAGCCUUCUGAAAGGAAGAUUAAUACAAGAUGGCAUCAUGAGUCCGCAUGGUAGAAUUAUUAAAGAAUUUCGGUCAUCGAUGGGGAUGCGUUCCAUUAGGUUGUUGGCGGGUAACGGCCCACAAGCCUUCGAUGGAUAGGGGUUCUGAGAGGAAGGUCCCCCCAAUUGGAACUGAGACACGGUCCAAACUCCUACGGGAGCAGCAGUGAGGAAUAUUGGUCAAUGGACGAGAGUCUGAACCAGCCAAGUAGCGUGAAGGAUGACUGCCCUAUGGGUUGUAAACUUCUUUUAUAAAGGAUAAAGUCGGGUAUGGAUACCCGUUUGCAUGUACUUUAUGAAUAAGGAUCGGCUAACUCCGUGCCAGCAGCCG